rnacentral:lncRNA from 1 species
ACUCAGAGAUGCUUUACUUGCGCACACCUAACUAAUUGCCCUGUAAGGACGAUAGCUGUGAGUAGGCCUUGUACCUGUGGAACCAAGGAAACGUCUGCUGAAUUCAGAAAUUCAGAAGCUGGAUCCUGCCCUCUGGCCCUCUGGGACUGAGGAAUUGUACCUUAGGGGUGCACACCUUGGAGAAAGCACACACCUCCAGUUUGUUGGACAGCAGGAUCAAAAAACCAACCAACCCACCAACACCUUAAAAACAUAUUUAUUUUAUGGAGGCAUCCUCUGAUAAAGAAUGCUAAGACCUUACCAAAGAUUUCACAGGGACACAGAAGACAAGCAGGGAAUGAAGAUCCAGCCUGCAACCAUCUUAGGCUUAAAAGCCAUCUUAUCAUAAAGACAAAGGAGGUCCAUUCCUAUUUAUGAUUAAACUUCUGUUUUUC